UACGGAGGAUGCAAGCGUUAUCCGGAAUGAUUGGGCGUAAAGCGUCCGCAGGUGGCUGUGUAAGUCUGCUGUUAAAGAGUCUAGCUCAACUAGAUAAAAGCAGUGGAAACUACACGGCUAGAGUACAGAAGGGGCAACUGGAAUUCUCGGUGUAGCGGUGAAAUGCGUAGAUAUCGAGAGGAACACCUGCGGCGAAGGCGGGUUGCUGGGCUGAUACUGACGCUGAGGCGCGAAAGCCAGGGGAGCGAACGGG
rnacentral:rRNA from 1 species